AAGCAAGGGAACAUGGAGGUUAUAGUGAUGUAGGCUUGGCUGCUCUAUAAAUACCAGGCUUGGGAGAUUAUAGAGAACACGCACAUACUCAUUGAUUCAGACUUGAAGAUCUGUCAAAAUGCUCCUAUAAUAUUUUUCUUUCAGCUAGUUCUUCUGUUUCUCUGUAUGGCUUGAACUGACCAUCGAGAUUAGAAGUUUGAUUACGCAUAUCCUCAUAUUCUCGAGACGUAUUGUCUCUGGCACGCCGUUUUCCUGCAAACAGUAUUUUGUGGCACCGCCCGGUGGGACCUAUUGAAGAAUUCAAGACAUGCCUCCAUGCGAGCAGCCUCCUGCAAACCCUAAAAAGGCCCUUCAGGUCGAAUCUGCUGCAGCCCGUCAAGCAGUUGUGGAGAACUCGGCAGCCGACAGAAACGUCAAUCCUAUUAGCAUGUUGUCUCAUUUUAUUGAGACCAUGGCCAUUGACAUCAAACAAGGUCAGUAGAAUAUGAAUCGUUCCAUGUAAAUAUGACGGCUAGUAUAGCCCAGUCUAUUCCUAUAUUUGUAAAGUUUUCCCUUAUUUAUAAUAUAGGCUUCAACAUCAAUCUGUUAGAUCCCAUUUGACUCUGGAUACUAUGGUACAUACCGAAAAACAAAUGAUCAAUCUGUUAUUCA